AACGCAUAUUGCGCCCUUUGGUAUUCCGAGGGGCAUGCCUGUCCGAGCGUCAUUAAUCAUAAUCAAGCGCGGCUUGUUGUUGAGCCUUUGUCCCCCCCUUCUUUUGUUUGAGGGGACAGGCUUGAAAUUCAGUGGCGAUCGCUGAGAUUGUUGCUAGAGUGUAUAGGGCUCCGUCACACACUCUUGGUGGCUUCAGCUCGCAUUCUGCCAUACCUAAGAUAAAUUUUCGGUCUGAUUGACCUCGGAUCAGGUAGGAAAACCCGCUGAACUUAA
rnacentral:misc_RNA from 1 species